CCUACGGGAGGCAGCAGUGGGGGAUAUUGCACAAUGGGGGAAACCCUGAUGCAGCGACGCCGCGUGUGGGAAGACGUUCCUCUGGAUUGUAAACCACUGUCCCCAGGGACGAAGAUAACGGUACCUGUGGAGGAAGCUCCGGCUAACUACGGGCCAGCGGCCGCGGGAUUACGUAGGGAGCAGGCGUUGUCCGGAAUUACUGGGGGUAAAGGGAGCGUAGGCGGGGUGGAAAGUUGAGUGGAAAGACUACCGGCUCAACUGGGAGUCGCACUCAAAACUGCAGCUCUGGAGUGAAGUAGAGGCAGGCGGAAUUCCUAGUGUAGCGGUGAAAUGCGUAGAUAUUAGGAGGAACACCAGUGGCGAAGGCGGCCUGCUGGGCUUUUACUGACGCUGAGGCUCGAAAGUGUGGGGAGCAAACAGGAUUAGAUACCCGUGUAGUC
rnacentral:rRNA from 1 species